GGGGAAUUAGCUCAGUGGUAGAGCGCUUGCUUAGCAUGCAUGAGGUCGUGGGUUCAAUUCCCACAUUCUCCAC